UACGUAGGGGGCUAGCGUUGUCCGGAAUCAUUGGGCGUAAAGCGCGUGUGGGCGGCCCGGUAAGUCCGCUGUGAAAGUCGGGGGCUCAACCCUCGGAUGCCGGUGGAUACUGUCGGGCUCGAGUACGGAAGAGGCGAGUGGAAUUCCUGGUGUAGCGGUGAAAUGCGCAGAUAUCAGGAGGAACACCAAUUGCGAAGGCAGCUCGCUGGGACGUUACUGACGCUGAGACGCGAAAGCGUGGGGAGCAAACAGG
rnacentral:rRNA from 1 species